CAGUAGCCGCGGUAAUACGUAGGGUGCAAGCGUUAAUCGGAAUUACUGGGCGUAAAGCGCACGUAGGCGGAUAUUUAGGUCAGGGGUGAAAUCCCAGAGCUCAACUCUGGAACUGCCUUUGAUACUGGGUAUCUUGAGUAUGGAAGAGGUGAGUGGAAUUCCGAGUGUAGAGGUGAAAUUCGUAGAUAUUCGGAGGAACACCAGUGGCGAAGGCGGCUCACUGGUCCAUUACUGACGCUGAGGUGCGAAAGCGUGGGGAGCAAACAGGAUUAGAGACCCCCGUAGUCCCUGUCUCUUAUAC
rnacentral:rRNA from 1 species